CUAGAAUGAGAGUCCAGGGCCUGGGUUGACUGCCCUGGGCACACCUGACUCUUGAUGGGGUUGCCAAAAUGUAGCUUGGCAUUUACAAAAAUUCUUUCCAAAGAUUGCAUCAAAGUCCAAAAGAAUUAUGUACAAUUUCAUUUCUGAUGUCUCUGGCUGUGCUUUCGAAAGGGCAGGAAGAGCCAUGGAAAGAGGCUGAAAGGCCCCUCUGGGAAUUCUCAAAUCUCUUUUCAUAGCAGUAACUUGGACCUAGACAGCAAAGCCUGAAAGACACAGGUAGAAGGAUCGCGAGGCGCAGCCCUCCCUUCUGAUCAGCACAGCCAGCCAACAGUAGUAGCUGAAAAGCGAGAGCACACUGAUGAAGAACACUGCGGGCACAAAGAAAAGGAAAAGGUAGAAGGUCCUGGAUUCUAAAGGAAGGUACUCUUAAA
rnacentral:lncRNA from 1 species